GGGAAGUUGUGGCCCAGUGGUCACAGCUUUGGAUUACUGAUCAGAAGGUCGCGAGUUCAAACCCCGUUCCUGCCA